CCCCUAGACGUUCUGGGCUGCACGCGCGCUACAAUAAUACGCACAGCGAGUAUCACCGAGCUCGAAAGGGCAAGGUAAACAAUAGAAAAGGUACUGUAAUGGCUAUAGAUCCUUGUAAUUAUUGAUCUUCAACGAGGAAUUCCUAGUAAGUAUGUGUCAUCAUCACGCACUGAUUACGUCCCUGCCCUUUGUACACACCGCCCGUCGCUCCUACCGAUUGGGUGAGCCGAUGAAACUCUCGGAUGUAGGCUAUUCAUAGCCCGCAGAAGAGAUUUGAAUCGUAGCGCUUAGAGGAAGGAGAAGUCGUAACA
rnacentral:rRNA from 1 species